UGGUGGGGCGGGUGCGGCUACAGCCGGCCCAGUCCCUGAAAGAGCGAGCAAGCGGCUGCCAGAUUCCCGGAUUCCCGCAGCUCGGCUGGGCACGGCGGCGGCAGCUUUGAUGUCUAGCUCUGUCACUUCGGCAGCAGGAUGGGUAGAGUCUUCGGAAAGUAACUCUUUUCACACCUACUUAAUGUUGGUAACUGCUGCAGAGACACUCCAUCCUGUCAUAGAGUUAAUGAGAUCGGCUGAGUACUUUCAGGAGGAAGGAAGUUUGCAAUUCCCUGCCAGAGGGGUUUGGGUCCCACAACAACCCCAGUGCAAGGCACCUAGCUACCCAGGCAGGGACAAUUCAGACCCCAAAGACAAGGGAAGGGGUGGGGAAGGGACUCUGAGGUUAUUCAAACCAAGCCAUGAAAUAGCCCCUCGGUGGAGCCCCUGCCCUGAGGGGGGCAUUCAGAGGACAGGACAAGAGCUGACCCAGCAGAAGGGGGAGGGGCCGGACGGCGCGACUCAGGCUUCUCCGCGGCCGCCCCUCCUGAUUAAGGCUCCUCUCCAACAGGCAAGAUCCCCAAUCGCUCCAGGCAGUAACGCUGAUGAGAAAUCUUGAGCUGGUUCUAGUUGAUUUUCCCUUUUUUUUUUUUUGCCCCCCCCAAUUUCACAGCUUUGCCUCCAGACCAUCUGUAUUAGAGACAAAAUCUAACACUGCACUAAAAAUAAUAGUUCCAAACAUUUUAAUUGCACCUCUUGGUGACAAGGUUACUGGAACAACACUUUACCCUAAAACCCUACAGCCGAACAUAAAGCACUUUCAUUUCUGGAAAAACAAUGGGAGAAGAAGCCUGGAGUCCCCCGUGGCCCCUUGGGGCCUCACCCUCCUCUCCUGCAGGCUAAUGCUGUGCAACUGCUGGGUGGUAACAGAGAAGGCAGCUGGCAGGGAGACCCUCGGCCCUGCCUGGGUAGUGGCGCCAGACCCAGCGGGCAGGUACAGUGGCUAGGAGAGGCAGCUCCUGGGAUGCCAGUACAGCCUGGAGGCUGGGUCCUUCACCCCAGCGGGACCCCAACAUGGGCAAGAAACUGGGGCAAUUGUCUUAGAAAGGCUGGCUGGGCUGCGGUGACGAUGGCCUGCAACCGAAUGCAUCCACGGAAAGGGGAAGAAAGUCCAAACUGGCCAUUCGGAAAUCCACUCGUGAGACACAAAAAUUGUUUAGCUUCAUUACACGUAUUUCUGUCUAAACUACAUCCUAUAUAGACACAGGCUAAGGGAAAGGGAUCCAGGGUGUAACUCCUUUUAAAAAAUACAUGUAGUAAAAUCUUAAAGACUAAUAUGAUAUCCUGGCUCUCAGCAGUUGCAAAAGGCUUCCAGCUGCAACCGCCUCCCCUGCAGGCCUCGGAAGGUUUCCCAUCACAGAAGGAUGGGACAUCUCCAAGCACAAUAGUUAUAAAUCUAGAGGAAAAGAGAAAGGGAGAAAAAGAAGAAAGGAAGAGAUAUGGAGAGAACAGGGCAGUCUGGCCAGAGGCUCCAGCUGGAAAAGGAAUGGGCAGCGCGGAGCUGACCCGGCAGGGAGCACGAGCCGCGUGAGUGUGCAAAAGCCCCUUGAGCCGUACAUGCUGGUAGCCCCUUAGUAAUUAAGCAAUUUUGAAUUUUUUAAAAAAGGAAAUGUACGCUUUUUUUUUUGACUGCCUUCCCUUCCUACGUUUUCCCUUCUAACCCUGUCUCUGCCAUCCGUUUUAAUCCACACACUAAUUGUAAUCCCAUUAAAGCAGAUAUAAUUUUAUUAGUAUUCACAGUUCAUCAAGCUACCAAUAAUAACUGUUACUGGCAAAUAUAAAGAAGAAAAGCUGCAAACCACAUUUCUGAUCUUUAUAACAAACA